AGCGAACGCUGGCGGUAGGCCUAACACAUGCAAGUCGAACGGCAGCACAGUAAGAGCUUGCUCUUACGGGUUGCGAGUGGCGGACGUGUGAGGAAUACAUCGGAAUCUACUUUUUCGUGGGGGAUAACGUAGGGAAACUUACGCUAAUACCGCAUACCACCUACGGGUGAAAGCAGUGGAUCUUCUGACCUUGCGCGAUUGAAUUAGCCGAUGUCGGAUUAGCUAGUUGGCGGGGUAAAGGCCCACCAAGGCGACGAUCCGUAGCUGGUCUGAGAGGAUGAUCAGCCACACUGGAACUGAGACACGGUCCAGACUCCUACGGGAGGCAGCAGUGGGGAAUAUUGGACAAUGGGCGCAAGCCUGAUCCAGCCAUACCGCGUGGGUGAAGAAGGCCUUCGGGUUGUAAAGCCCUUUUGUUGGGAAAGAAAAGCAGCAGGUUAAUACCCCGCUGUUCUGACGGUACCCAAAGAAUAAGCACCGGCUAACUUCGUG
rnacentral:rRNA from 1 species